GUCAGAGCUGUGUUUGACUUGUGCUGGCUCCACCCCUGAUCUGCCUCUUUGACAGUUUCAGCCAAUGCUAUGGGUAAGCAUUGUGAUUGGCUCAGAGAAUAACUUCUGAUGAUGUCAGUAGAUAUGGGCAGCUCAGAUGCAAACCAGCAGCUACAGACUUGAAUACAAGCAAGAUUUUAAUAUAUUUAGGGAGGCAAGUGGGGGCCAGAUGGUGGUUUUAAAGGAAACUAUA